rnacentral:rRNA from 1 species
UCGGUAGAGUGAAACUGCGGAUAGCUCAUUAAAUCGCCUCUAUUUUGUUUGAUAGUCCUCCACUGGAUAUCCGUGGAAAAUCUAGAGCCAAUACUUGCACUGAUAUCUAACAAGCUAAUGCUUCUUGUUAGAUGCAUUUAUUGGAUAUCCGAUCGCUCACAUUGCGAGCGUUAGGUGAUUCUAAAUGACUUUGCUGAUCGUAUGGCCUUGUGCCGACGACAGAUCAAACAAGAUCGCGCCCUAUCAAUUUGUUGUUAGGAUAUUUUCCUAACAAGG